rnacentral:rRNA from 1 species
CAGCCUAACACAUGCAAGUCGAGCGAGAAAGGUCUUCGGACUGAGUACAGCGGCNAACGGGUGAGUAACGCGUAGGAAUUUACCUUUCAGUGAGGAAUACCCUCGAGAAAUCGAGGUUAAUACUGCAUACGUCUCGCAAGAGAGAAAGAUGGCCUCUUUGGCUGUCGCUGAAAGAUGAGCCUGCGUACUAUUAGCUAGUUGGUGGGGUAAAGGCCUACCAAGGCGGUGAUGGUUAGCCGGCCUGAGAGGGUGUACGGCCACACUGGAACUUAGACACGGUCCAGACUCCUACGGGAGGCAGCAGUGAGGAACAUUGCGCAAUGGGCGAAAGCCUGACGCAGCGACGCCGCGUGGAGGAUGAAGGUCUUCGGAUUGUAAACUUCUGUUAAGCGGGAAGAAAGGCGAAGCUUUAAUACAGCUUUGAUAUGACGGUACCGCUAGAGAAAGCACCGGCUAACUUCGUGCCAGCAGCCGCGGUAAUACGAAGGG